rnacentral:rRNA from 1 species
AUUGAACGCUGGCGGCAGGCCUAACACAUGCAAGUCGAACGGUAACAGGAAGACGCUUGCUUCUUUGCUGACGAGUGGCGGACGGGUGAGUAAUGUCUGGGAAACUGCCUGAUGGAGGGGGAUAACUACUGGAAACGGUAGCUAAUACCGCAUAACGUCGCAAGACCAAAGAGGGGGACCUUCGGGCCUCUUGCCAUCGGAUGUGCCCAGAUGGGAUUAGCUUGUUGGUGGGGUAACGGCUCACCAAGGCGACGAUCCCUAGCUGGUCUGAGAGGAUGACCAGCCACACUGGAACUGAGACACGGUCCAGACUCCUACGGGAGGCAGCAGUGGGGAAUAUUGCACAAUGGGCGCAAGCCUGAUGCAGCCAUGCCGCGUGUAUGAAGAAGGCCUUCGGGUUGUAAAGUGCUUUCAGCGGGGAGGAAGGGAGUAAAGUUAAUACCUUUGCUCAUUGACGUUACCCGCAGAAGAAGCACCGGCUAACUCCGUG